rnacentral:tRNA from 1 species
AGAAAAGUAAGCUAAAAUAAGCUAGUGGGUUCAUACCCCAUUAAUAGAGGCACCUCUCUUCUCUA